rnacentral:rRNA from 1 species
UCGGGAAACUGGGAGUAAUACCGUAUACGCCCUUCGGGGGAAAGAUUUAUCGGUGAAGGAUUAGCCCGCGUCUGAUUAGAUAGUUGGUGGGGUAACGGCCUACCAAGUCGACGAUCAGUAGCUGGUUUGAGAGGAUGAUCAGCAACACUGGGACUGAGACACGGCCCAGACUCCUACGGGAGGCAGCAGUGGGGAAUCUUAGACAAUGGGCGCAAGCCUGAUCUAGCCAUGCCGCGUGAGUGACGAAGGCCUUAGGGUCGUAAAGCUCUUUCGCCAGAGAUGAUAAUGACAGUAUCUGGUAAAGAAACCCCGGCUAACUCCGUGCCAGCAGCCGCGGUAAUACGGAGGGGGUUAGCGUUGUUCGGAAUUACUGGGCGUAAAGCGCGCGUAGGCGGACUAUUAAGUCAGGGGUGAAAUCCCGGGGCUCAACCCCGGAACUGCCUUUGAUACUGGUAGUCUAGAGUUCGAGAGAGGUGAGUGGAAUUCCGAGUGUAGAGGUGAAAUUCGUAGAUAUUCGGAGGAACACCAGUGGCGAAGGCGGCUCACUGGCUCGAUACUGACGCUGAGGUGCGAAAGUGUGGGGAGCAAACAGGAUUAGAUACCCUGGUAGUCCACACCGUAAACGAUGAAUGCCAGACGUCGGGGGGCUUGCCCUU